AAAUCUUUUACAACCACCCGUGAUCAGGCUGAAAUUGUUUCUGUCUGAAGUGUCUAUCGGUUAUAUCGCGCGAUGUUUAUUUUACUUUACUUUACCUAUAUAAAUGUAUGGCUUCUGUAGAGUGAAGUUUUAGGAACAAUUAAUGUAGAGUAUUCUCCCAGCUUUACAUUAAAUGGUAAACUUCCUAUGCUCUUGCAACCACCGAUUUAUUUUGGCUAUUCAAGCACCUCUGCGGAUGGACCAGGAAUUCCUUUUCCGUGAAAAGUAUACAUACGCCAAUUAGACAGAUUCAAUUUCCAAUAAUUAGGAGCUACAUUCUUCUGGUUCACCCAUAAAAUCACUGAGAUGUCUACGGGGACAGGCCACAGUGGAAUCAAUGGCAUGGAUGAGAUAGUUAAUGUAAUAUCGUGGCAUUAAUGGAGGUAAGAUGCAACCUGUUGCGUGCGUCAACAGCCGUGAAUACUUCAUCAACGGAAAUGUCCAUCGAUGGUGGAAAAAGACAGUUCUGUAAAUAGGUAGGUAUGUAGUUUUGCAAAGCUUUCAAAGCAUAUGUCAUGCGAUUUUAAUUUUAAAUCACAGAAAAUUAGUAAGUAGCUUUGGCUUAAAGUCAGACGGGUAUGGUUCAAUCUAUCACCGUUUUUCUCCGUUCAGUUGACAUUUUUCUCGAUUUAAAAUGAGAGGUUUUCUUGAUUAAUAACUGCAUAUGAUUCUACAAUGAGUCCGGUAAAAUUUGAAAAGUAAAAGUGAAAAAACAUUUCAAUGAA